rnacentral:rRNA from 1 species
GACGAACGCUGGCGGCGUGCUUAACACAUGCAAGUCGAACGGAAAGGCCUCUUUCGGGGGGUACUCGAGUGGCGAACGGGUGAGUAACACGUGAGUAACCUGCCCUUGACUUUGGGAUAACUUCAGGAAACUGGGGCUAAUACCGGAUAGGAGCUCCUGCUGCAUGGUGGGGGUUGGAAAGUUUCGGCGGUUGGGGAUGGACUCGCGGCUUAUCAGCUUGUUGGUGGGGUAGUGGCUUACCAAGGCUUUGACGGGUAGCCGGCCUGAGAGGGUGACCGGCCACAUUGGGACUGAGAUACGGCCCAGACUCCUACGGGAGGCAGCAGUGGGGAAUAUUGCACAAUGGGUGGAAGCCUGAUGCAGCAACGCCGUGUGCGGGAAGACGGCCUUCGGGUUGUAAACCGCUUUCGCUCAUGACGAAGCUUUGUGUGACGGUAGUGGGUAAAGAAGCACCGGCUAACUACGUG